rnacentral:rRNA from 1 species
CCUACGGGAGGCAGCAGUGAGGAAUAUUGGUCAAUGGACGAGAGUCUGAACCAGCCAAGUAGCGUGAAGGAUGACUGCCCUAUGGGUUGUAAACUUCUUUUAUAUGGGAAUAAAAUGUUCCACGUGUGGCUUUUUGUAUGUACUAUAUGAAUAAGGAUCGGCUAACUCCGUGCCAGCAGCCGCGGUAAUACGGAGGAUCCGAGCGUUAUCCUGAUUUAUUGGGUUUAAAGGGAGCGUAGGUGGAUUGUUAAGUCAGUUGUGAAAGUUUGCGGCUCAACCGUAAAAUUGCAGUUGAAACUGGCAGUCUUGAGUACAGUAGAGGUGGGCGGAAUUCGUGGUGUAGCGGUGAAAUGCUUAGAUAUCACGAAGAACUCCGAUUGCGAAGGCAGCUCACUGGACUGCAACUGACACUGAGGCUCGAAAGUGUGGGUAUCAAACAGGAUUAGAUACCCGUGUAGUC